GAUGAACGCUGGCGGCGUGCUUAACACAUGCAAGUCGAACGAUGAAGCCCAGCUUGCUGGGUGGAUUAGUGGCGAACGGGUGAGUAACACGUGAGUAACCUGCCCUUAACUCUGGGAUAAGCCUGGGAAACUGGGUCUAAUACCGGAUAGGAGCGUCCACCGCAUGGUGGGUGUUGGACAGAUUUAUCGGUUUUGGAUGGACCCGCGGCCUAUCAGCUUGUUGGUGGGGUAAUGGCUCACCAAGGCGACGACGGGUAGCCGGCCGUGAGAGGGUGACCGGCCACACUGGGACUGAGACACGGCCCAGACUCCUACGGGAGGCAGCAGUGGGGAAUAUUGUACAAUGGGCGAAAGCCUGAUGCAGCGACGCCGCGUGAGGGAUGACGGCCUUCGGGUUGUAAACCUCUUUCAGUAGGGAAGAAGCGAAAGUGACGGUACCUGCAGAAGAAGCACCGGCUAACUACGUGCCAGCCGCCGCCGUAA
rnacentral:rRNA from 1 species